AUUGGGCCUCAGGUCUGAGGGCCGAACACAUGGAGUACAUGCUUUUUAUAGAACUAUAACUCCUCCCAUUAAUAGCUCCACCCGCACAUACCCUUAACCAAUCAGUGGACAGGAUUUGGAUUUCCUUAUAUGGGCAGACCACAUGGCUCAUCCGAAACAAAAGAGAAAGGAAUGUGAUUUCAGUUCCUGCAUUCCUGCACAUGCUCAGUACAUUGAUGACAGUAUCUUAGCUACGUGUAACUAACUAACUGAUACAACAUACACAUAUGCCACGUGGAAAUAUCGGCCUACUAAAUUUACAUUUCACCGAAAUUCCAUCACAAUGCUAUUUCUGAAUAUAUUGGACAUUCGCCAAAGGACAUUUUAUCUCUGAAAUCUCUAACUUCAUUUGGCUUUUCUUGCACAUGGGAUCACUUGUGGGCUACCAGGACAGAGAAUACAUUCCAAACCUGAGUUAAUUUUCUUUCAUCUCUUUGUAAUCUGUUUCUAGCGACAUAUUUAAUGAACUAAUGCCUGUUGUAAUACAAAGAGAGAAUGUGUCCUAGCUCUGUUUACUCGUUAAGAUUUAUAAGAAAUGUCGCUUCUUUCUUCAGUUGAAAUAGCAAUUCUCAUUUAAAACUAAACAAGUUGAUAACUGUAAAUCACACUGCGGAAUAUCGGUUUCCCUCCAGAGUUAGAAGGAACACAUUGAAGGUAACAUUUGUUUCAGCGAAUUAACUAAAAACAUAAAAUCCUGCAGAAUUUUUAAACAAUCUUUUUUAUUCAGAAUUAAAAGAUAUUAAGGGUAGACCAACAGGUGUCAAAAUAUUUUGCAACGGAAUGGCUAACAUUCUUUAUUGUAAGCUGAUAUAAAUGGUCUGUAAAAUAUCAACAUGGAAUAUAUAUGACUGAUGUGGAAAUUACUGCAGGAGACGUGGGAUGGGAAAGGUAGUGUGACUGCAGGAGACGUGGAAUGGGAAAGGUAGUGUGACUGCAGGAGAUGUGGAAUGGGAAAAGUAGUGUGACUGCAGGAGACGUGGAAUGGGAAAGGUUAGGUAGUGUGACUGCAGGAGACGUGGGAUGUGAAAGGUAGUGUGACCGCAGGAGAAGUGGGAUGUAAAUGGUAGUGUGACUGCAGGAGACGUGGGAUGGUAUGACACAGGAGCGUAGGUUGGGAAAUGUAGUGUGGCUACAGGCAGGUAGAUAGGAAAAGUAGUGGCACCCAAGGAGGCAGAGUGGGAAGGUAGUGUGACUGGGCGUUAGAUGAGAAAGGUGAGUGUGACUGGGAGGCGUGGGAUAAGGAAGGUAAGGUGGCCCCAGGAGGCGUGGGAUGAGGCAGUGAGUUGUAGGCUACUGGAGGCAGUGGGAUGGGAAGGUAGUGUGACUGGGGCAGUGGGAUGAAAGUGGUGUGACUGCCCAGGAGGCGUUGGAUGGAAGGUAGUGUGACUGCACAGAGCGUAGGAGUGAACAGUAGGGUGACUGCAGGAGGCGUGGGACAGGAGCGUGGUGUGACUGCAGGAGACGUGGGAUGUGAAAGGUAGUGUGACCACAGGAGACGUGGGAUGUGAAUGGUAGUGUGACUGCAGGAGACGUGGGAUAGGAAAGGUAGUGUGACUGCAGGAGACGUAGGAUGGGAAAUGUAGUGUGACUGCAGGAGACGUGGAAUGGGAAAAGUAGUGUGACUGCGGGAGACGUUGGAUGUGAAAGGUAGUGUGACUGCAGGAGACAUGGGAUUGGAAAGGUAGUGUGACUGCAGGAGACGUUGGAUGGGAAGACGUGGGAUGGGAGACGUGGGAUGGGAACGGUAGUGUGACUGCAGGAGACGUGGGAUGGGAAAGGUAGCGUGACUGCAGGAGACCUGGGAUGGGAAAGGUAGUGUGACUGCAGGAGAUGUUGGAUUGGAAAGGUAGUGUGACUGCAGGAGACGUGGGAUGGGAACGGUAGUGUGACUGCAGGAGACGUUGGAUGGGAAAGGUAGUGUUACUGCAGGAGACGUGGGAUGGGAAUGGUAGGGUGACUGCAGGAGACGUGGGAUGGGAAUGGUAGCGUGACUGCAAGAGACGUGGGAUGGGAAAGGUAGUGUGACUGCAGGAGAUGUGGGAUGGGAAAGGUAGUGUGACUGCAGGAGACGUGGGAUGGGAAAGGUAGUGUGACUGCAGGAGAUGUGGGAUGAGAAAGGUAGUGUGACUGCAGGAGACGUGGGAUAGGAAAGGUAGUGUGACUGCAGGAGACGUGGGAUAGGAAAGGUAGUGUGACUGCAGGAGACGUGGGAAGGGAAAGGUAGUGUGACUGCAGGAGACGUGGGAAGGGAAAGGUAGUGUGAUUGCAGGAGACGUGGGAUAGGAAAGGUAGUGUGACUGCAGGAGACGUGGGAAGGGAAAGGUAGUGUGACUGCAGGAGACGUGGGAAGGGAAAGGUCUCUGAUUGCAGGACAAGUGGUAUGCAGUAGACAUGGGUUGGGAAAGGUAGUGUGACUGCAGCAGAUGUACAGUACAGGACUAGUAUGAGUAAAGCACAUGGAUGGUUGAUGAAGGGACAUGAUGACAGGUGAGAGAGGACAUGCACGUACGGGAUAUACAUGGUUGAUGCUACUCUUUUUAUAAACUUGAUUGUGUUUGCUGUAUUGGACCCCUAAGUCCUGUUUGGUAUUGUGUUUUUGUUCUUCCAGUUGACACGGUUUUUAGGUGUACCAAGACACCCUUAGGAGAUUGAGUCAAAAUGAAGAGGUCAUGUCAUGUUACACCUUUCUCCUGUAAAUUAUGCAUGCUCCAUGUAUAGUUCUCCUCCUUUCUUGUAGGAAUUGAGCAAUAAAGACAACAGCAGAUUGUCAUUUUGUUCCACGAGAUCUGAAAACUUAAAUGCAAAUACUGGUAUUGCAGUGGAUGAGAUGUGCUUGUAGUGUAUCUUCCGGUGCAUUGGUAGAUUUCCUAAACUGAGCUGGAGAUGUACAAUUAAAACAAAAUCUGGAGAUUUGGAGAAAACCCUGCCGGACC